AUUUAAAAUCUGGCGGUUCUUGCAGCCGUCCGAGUUGUAAUUUAGAGAAGUGUUAUCCGCGCUGGACCGUGUACAAGUCUCCUGGAAUGGAGCGUCAUAGAGGGUGAGAAUCCCGUCUUUGACACGGACUACCAGGGCUUUGUGAUGCGCUCUCGAAGAGUCGAGUUGUUUGGGAAUGCAGCUCAAAAUGGGUGGUAAAUUCCAUCUAAAGCUAAAUAUUGGCGAGAGACCGAUAGCGAACAAGUACCGUGAGGGAAAGAUGAAAAGAACUUUGGAAAGAGAGUUAAACAGUACGUGAAAUUGUUGAAAGGGAAACGCUUGAAGUCAGUCGCGUUGGCUGGGGAUCAAUCUUGCUCUUUUGCUUGAUGUACUUCCUAGUCGAUGGGUCAACAUCAGUUUUGAUUGUUGGAUAAAGAUUAGGGGAAUGUGGCAUCCUCGGAUGUGUUAUAGCCCUUGGUUGUAUACAACAGUUGGGACUGAGGAACUCAGCACGCCGCAAGGCCGGGUUUUUAACCACGUACGUGCUUAGGAUGUUGGCAUAAUGGCUUUAAUCGACCCGUCUUGAAACACGGACCAAGGAGUCUAACAUGCCUGCGAGUAUUUGGGUGGAAAACCCGGAUGCGUAAUGAAAGUGAAAGUUGAGAUCUCUGUCGCGGAGAGCAUCGACGCCCGGACCAGACCUUUUGUGACGGUUCCGCGGUAGAGCAUGUAUGUUGGGACCCGAAAGAUGGUGAACUAUGCCYGAAUAGGGUGAAKCCAGAGGAAACUCUGGYGGAGGCUCGUARCGAAUCUU
rnacentral:rRNA from 1 species